UACGUAGGGAGCAAGCGUUGUCCGGAAUCAUUGGGCGUAAAGCGCGCGUAGGCGGCCCUGUAAGUCCGUUGUGAAAGUCAAAGGCUCAACCUUUGAAAGCCGAUGGAUACUGUAGGGCUAGAGUCCGGAAGAGGCGAGUGGAAUUCCUGGUGUAACGGUGGAAUGCGCAGAUAUCAGGAGGAACACCAAUAGCGAAGGCAGCUCGCUGGGACGGUACUGACGCUAAGGCGCGAAAGCGUGGGGAGCGAACAGG
rnacentral:rRNA from 1 species